AUUGAACGCUGGCGGCAGACCUAACACAUGCAAGUCGAACGAGUGGCGGACUGGUGAGUAAUGUCUGGGAAACUUCCCGAUGGAGCGGGAUAACUACUGGAAACGGUAGCUAAUACCGCAUAUCCUCGGUAGUGGCCAGAUGGGAUUAGCUAGUAUGUGGGGUAACGGCUCACCUAGGCGACGCGCCCUAGCUGGUCUGAGAGGAUGACCCGCCACAAUGGAAAUGAGACACGGUCGAGACUCCUACGGGAGGCGGCAGUGGGGAAUAUGGCACAAUGUGCGGAGGCCUGAUGCACCCAUGCCGCGUGGAUGAAGAAGGCCUUCGGGUUGUAAAGUACUUGCAGCGAGGAGGCGUUACUCGCAGAAGAAGCACCGGCUAACUCCGUGCCAGCAGCCGCGGUAAUAC
rnacentral:rRNA from 1 species